rnacentral:rRNA from 1 species
AACGAACGCUGGCGGCGCGUCUUAACCAUGCAAGUCGAGCGGCAGGCAGCAAUGCCGAGAGCGGCGGACUGGUGAGUAACACGUGGAUAACGUACCCCGAUGUCCGGGACAGCCUGUAGAAAUAGAGGGUGAUACCGGAUAGAUCACUGUAUACGGAAGGUAGACAGCGGGAAAGGAGCUUCGGCUCCGCGCCGGGAACGGUCUGCGGCCCAUCAGCUGGACGGCGGGGUAACGGCCCGCCGUGGCGAGGACGGGUAUCCGGCCUGAGAGGGCGGACGGACACAUUGGGACUGAGAUACGGCCCAGACUCCUACGGGAGGCAGCAGGUAAGAAUAUUCCGCAAUGGGGGAAACCCUGACGGAGCGACGCCGCGUGAACGAAGAAGGCCGGAAGGUUGUAAAGUUCUUUUCUGUCCGAGGAAUAAGUGUAGGAGGAAAUGCCUGCAUGGUGACGGUAGGGCAGGAAUAAGC